rnacentral:rRNA from 1 species
GUGGUUUAUUAAAUUAUGGUCUUCCUGACUUCGUCUUUAUGGGUGUGCGAUAGCUUCCGCUCCUCCUCCCCUCAUCUUUGUGGUAAGUUAGAGCGGCCGGCGGCGGCGGCGGCGGCGGUGGGAUUGACACGGCUCGAGAGCGGUCUUAGCGUAUGUACUCGAGGUGCCGACGACGCCGCGGUGGUCGGUCCGCGUGCGCGUCGGCCGACGGCAGACGGAGCAGGGCGUCCAGACUACUGGGGAGGAGGCGGCGGUUGCGGUUGCCUUUACCCUUCUGGAGAGGCUUCGAACGAAGAGGGUUUGUAGAAGGCCCCCUCUCCUGCCACUUCUUCGAUUCCGACAGGUUCCGCGACUGCUAUGGACUCCCGUGCUGCCAGAUGCUGCGCAGGGCCGCCUACCGCCGCUCCGCCCAGCUGCGCCACGACGAGUGGCUACGGGUUCCGGAGGAUAGACCGUAUCAGUGGCUAUUCCGCUUGAUGAAAGUAAUGAAAAGUCACCUUAUACGACACACGAAGGUAUCAUCGACACCUUUCUAUACUACUAAACUUCGAUGCUCCUUAGAUCCCAUCAUAGAGAAGGAUGAAGAGAAAACUCUUUUUCACUACAUACCUAACCUAAGAAACCAAACCUGGAAUCGUUCACCGGAAAAGACAAUUUUGCUUUCAAGAGACCUCCAAACGAUGGGCUUCAAACGAACCAACCAAAGGGGAUCACACUCGGUCAAAAACACUGGUAACUUAUACAUGUUUAUAACGAUACAAGACACGAAUCUACAACUAAGCUACCCCCUUUUCCACUUAAUACGACUUCUUUUAUACGGUGGAAGGUUGAUGAUCUGUCGGGUUUCAAGAAAAAAGAAGCAAAUCCCGAAAACUAGUUCAGUAAAAAACUGUUAACGAUCAGCGAGCAACCUUCAAACCAAAUGACGACAUCCAUAAAAAACGGGAAAGAAUAGGGAGAGAGUAAUACGACAUUUUACCUGACUACACGGACGUGAACAAAUCGUCACCAAAGAACGAUUUUCUUUGCUUAAUCCAUUUCCGUUCUGUUUCUAAAAGACACAAAUAAAAACAACCGAUCAACACGAAACAUGACAUGAAAAAACAUUUUAAUUCGUGUGGUAUCAUUCAACACUUAUGAAUUAUUCAUCAUCAUAAUGUUCACCGGGUACCAGAUGAAAAUGACGAAAGUACGACUUCAGUUAAAAAAAGGAACCCUAAGUUUAAACGACAUCCUAUAUAGGUGUGCUCACUAACGUCUCCCCGACGCCCACCUCGUUUGGCGGUACAGGUUCUAGUACUGUGCCUUAGGAUGAAUACAGUGACGACUGAGUGAACGUUAACUCCGUAACGUUUUCUACCAAGUUCCAUUUAAAUCUGUGGAGGGUCAACACCUUUUACCACUCCAAUACCGAUACGAUCUGUAACGUUUUACGGAAAUACUACGAUAUCGUUCUAACCUUUUCCGUCGACUUGUUCCCUCACGCUAUCGUCGACGUCAUCUCCCCCAACUCGCAGUUGACCCUCCGUUGAAAUGUCGAGGAAUACGAAAAUAUCUUUGAGAUUCUCUCGCCUACAAGUUUGGAAGAGACAGUUGGUAACAGUGCCUCCUGUGUUUCCAUCGUUAACAAAGGGGAAGUCUAGGACACAUACACCGCUGUGUCUUUUACGCACUCAAAGCUCAAUUAAGUCACUAACAGUGAUGUCCCUUGUGUCACGUCCCCUAGAAAUGGAGUUUUCUACAAGAAUACGCACAACACAGUGUCUUAGAAAGGGGUCUUAACUGGAAUCAUCUUUUCCACUACUGACGUUUGGGACUAACACGAUACAAUCUGUGCUGUUAAGAACUACGUGAUGUAUAUUACGUACUACCGUUUAAGAACGUGUAAGGACAAGAACUGUCUCUCCCCGUUUAACGACGAACGGACCUACAGGACGUUGAAUGGGUACGUCGGUAAGUUAACCAACUUCCCCCGUUACCCUGACGAUUACUGUACCGUUUGAGUCAUUACGUCUCCAAGACCCUGAGACGCGAACGAAAUCUUGGAGGUCUACUGCUUGAACUAUCGGCAUCGCUUCGUAGGAAUGAAUACCGCAGUCUUCGGCCCCUACCCGCCUCAUCAUAUAUAGGGGGAUAGUAACCAUUAAGUAAAGGGAAAUUCGAAGUUCUGGCCUUCCCUGCACACGUAUCUAAGUGAACGCCGAGUCUCUCGAAUUUGCUCGAACACAGGAGACAUUCCGUUUCUAACUCAUAAUAACUACUUUUCCUGUAGUAAGUUUAGAACAUGCUUCUACUACUCCCGCUGGCCCAUGACGACUGUUGCCUAUGACUAGAACGACCGCGGCACGAGGUACGGUUUAGUAGACCAAACUUCCAAGAGUUCAACGUAUAGCACCUGCUCAAAUUAGGUUUGUGUCUCCACCAUUUUGGUAAUGUCCUAGAUCGUGGAGCGUCGUCCUUACCACCCAGAAGACAAUUUUAACCCGAGUACCGACCACGUCAACGAGAGUCACCGCGCCGUCAGUACCACAUGAACUUUGCUAGGUCCCACACUAAUGGUUACUUAGUUAUGAAAGGAUUUGGGCGUAGAGUUGUCGACUGUAGGUAGGUGAAAUCUUAGAUAACAAUAGAACCAUAGUAAUGUAUGAUUCUUUUCUUUCUUACUCCGUGUACUCCAGUGUACAAAGGUCAGACAGUCCAUUAACUUUCCAGCUUGUAGUCCGCCAUCCUCGAAAGAUUAUAAACAGGGAGGUGUAAAACGUGUUUGUAGUCACUAAAGUACCGAUGUUACUUUGCACAUUUGUAUUCGCAAAUACGAUCAAGUAUGAAAACGUGAAAAAAGAUCUAUCUGUCUCCUACAUUUUACUAAAACCUCGUAUUGUAAUUCACCUAAUAAGAGACGGUCACAGGAUGUUUUUAGUUUACAUUUGUUAACCCAGUACGUGUGGUAGUUUGUAUGAUGGGUCCGACUGUUUAUUACGGGUAAUAAUAAACUAGGACACGGGAGAGUUCUAGAAUAGACGGGUCAUCUCAUCCACCCGGGAUCAAUAUAGG